rnacentral:misc_RNA from 1 species
AAGUAUUUAAAAAUACUCAUUUAAUAACUAAAAUAAUAAUACGAUAUAUCGCCGGCGAAGCACAGGCGACGAGCACAAAGUCGUCGACCUAAUCACACGAUAUAUAUAUAUUAUAUAGAUAUAGAAUAAAGGUUGCGAGAAAUGGAUGCAGAGGCGAUUGUGAAGGAAUUGAGAGGGACGUACGGGAGUGGGAAGACGAAGAGUUACGAGUGGAGAGUGUCGCAGUUGAAAGCUUUAUUGAAGAUUGCUGAGAAUCAUGAGAAGGAGAUUACCGAUGCUCUUUAUUCUGACCUCUCUAAGCCUGAACUCGAAGCCUUUAUUCAUGAGGUUUCUAUGAUGAAAACAGCAUGUAAACUUGCAUUGAAGGAACUAAAAUGGUGGAUGAAGCCGGAAAAAGUCAAAACUUCAUUAACCUCGUUUCCUUCAUCAGCUGAAAUAGUUCCAGAACCUCUCGGUGUUGUAUUGGUCAUAUCAGCAUGGAACUACCCGUUCUUGUUGUCCCUUGAUCCAGUGAUUGGAGCUAUUGCUGCUGGUAAUGCUGUAGUUCUGAAACCAUCAGAAAUAGCCCCAGCUACAUCUUCAGUGCUUGCAAAGCUGUUAGGGCAGUAUAUGGAUGUGUCUGCUAUCAGAGUUGUAGAAGGGGCAGUACCUGAGACAACUGCAUUACUAGAGCAAAA